GUGGUGAUUGAGGGAGCUGCCUGGGGACUCCACCCAAGGGGUGACGCAUGUCUUGUUGGCUGCAGAUACUGAGGAAGAGGUGACAGAGGACAACUCUGAUGAGGACUCAGAAGCUGGACUGGAGUGUGACCGGGAAGCUGAGCGGAAGUUGAGAACGCAGAGGAAAUGCGUCGCCUCUGGGACACCUUGACCUCAGGUCCUGGACUAGACUCCAAAGCUUUGGGAUAUAGUUCACAUACCAUGCAAUCCACCCAUUUAAAGUGUACAAUUCAUGGAGUCGGGCAACCAUCACCACUCUCUGAUUUUUGAACAUUUUCAUCACCCUUAUAAGAAUGCCUGUACCGGUUAGUAAUCACUCCCUGUUUCCCUCCAUCCUCUAGCCCUACACUUUCCAUCUCUUUAGAGC